rnacentral:rRNA from 1 species
CCUACGGGCGGCAGCAGUGGGGGAUAUUGCACAAUGGGGGGAACCCUGAUGCAGCGACGCCGCGUGGGUGAAGGAGCGUUUCGGCGCGUAAAGCCCUAUCGGCAGGGAAGAAGAUGACGGUACCUGACCAAGAAGCCCCGGCAAACUACGUGCCAGCAGCCGCGGGAAUACGUAGGGGGCCAGCGUUAUCCGGAUUUACUGGGGGUAAAGGGGGCGCAGACGGCAAUGCAAGCCAGGAGGGAAAGCCCGGGGCCCCACCCCGGGACUGCUCUUGGAACUGCAUGGCUGGAGUACAGGAGGGGCAGGCGGAAUUCCUAGUGUAGCGGUGAAAUGCGUAGAUAUUAGGAGGAACACCGGUGGCGAAGGCGGCCUGCUGGACUGUGACUGACGUUGAGGCCCGAAGGCGUGGGUAGCAAACAGGAUUAGAUACCCCAGUAGUC